CGCCUCUUGCAAAACUUAAGAAUAAGAGGUCCCGCCUGCCCUGUGACUAUAUGUUUAACGGCCGCGGUAUCCUGACCGUGCGAAGGUAGCGUAAUCACUUGUCUUUUAAAUGGAGACCUGUAUGAAUGGCAUAACGAGGGCUUAACUGUCUCCUUUUUCCAGUCAAUGAAAUUGAUCUCCCCGUGCAGAAGCGGGGAUAAAAACAUAAGACGAGAAGACCCUAUGGAGCUUUAGACACUAAGGUAGAUCGCGUUAAGCACCCCUAAACAAAGGGUUAAACCCCUUGAAUCCUACCCUAAUGUCUUUGGUUGGGGCGACCGCAGGGAAAUAAAAAACCCCCGCGUGGACCGGGAGUACUGUACUCCUACCACCAAGAGCUACCGCUCUAAUAAACAGAACCUCUGACCCAUUAGAUCCGGCAAUGCCGAUUAACGAACCAAGUUACCCUAGGGAUAACAGCGCAAUCCUCUUUUAGAGCCCAUAUCGACAAGAGGGUUUACGACCUCGAUGUUGGAUCAGGACAUCCUAAUGGUGCAGCCGCUAUUAAGGGUUCGUUUGUUCAACGAUUAAAGUCCUACGUGAUCUG
rnacentral:rRNA from 1 species